rnacentral:rRNA from 1 species
UACGUAGGGGGCGAGCGUUGUCCGAAGUUACUGGGCGUAAAGCGCGCGUAGGCGGCUCUUUAAGUGGCCGGUGAAAUCCCCGGGCUCAACUCGGGAGGGUCUGGUCAUACUGGGGAGCUAGAGUGUGGGAGAGGAGAGUGGAACUCCUGGUGUAGCGGUGAUAUGCGUAGAGAUCAGGAAGAACACCCGUGGCGAAGGCGGCUCUCUGGACCACAACUGACGCUGAGGUGCGAAAGCCAGGGGAGCGAACAGG